rnacentral:rRNA from 1 species
UUAAAUUGAAGAGUUUGAUCAUGGCUCAGAUUGAACGCUGGCGGCAGGCCUAACACAUGCAAGUCGAACGGUAACAGAAAGCAGCUUGCUGCUUUGCUGACGAGUGGCGGACGGGUGAGUAAUGUCUGGGAAACUGCCUGAUGGAGGGGGAUAACUACUGGAAACGGUAGCUAAUACCGCAUAACGUCGCAAGACCAAAGAGGGGGACCUUCGGGCCUCUUGCCAUCGGAUGUGCCCAGAUGGGAUUAGCUUGUUGGUGGGGUAACGGCUCACCAAGGCGACGAUCUCUAGCUGGUCUGAGAGGAUGACCAGCCACACUGGAACUGAGACACGGUCCAGACUCCUACGGGAGGCAGCAGUGGGGAAUAUUGCACAAUGGGCGCAAGCCUGAUGCAGCCAUGCCGCGUGUAUGAAGAAGGCCUUCGGGUUGUAAAGUACUUUCAGCGGGGAGGAAGGGAGUAAAGUUAAUACCUUUGCUCAUUGACGUUACCCGCAGAAGAAGCACCGGCUAACUCCGUGCCAGCAGCCGCGGUAAUACGGAGGGUGCAAGCGUUAAUCGGAAUUACUGGGCGUAAAGCGCACGCAGGCGGUUUGUUAAGUCAGAUGUGAAAUCCCCGGGCUCAACCUGGGAACUGCAUCUGAUACUGGCAAGCUUGAGUCUCGUAGAGGGGGGUAGAAUUCCAGGUGUAGCGGUGAAAUGCGUAGAGAUCUGGAGGAAUACCGGUGGCGAAGGCGGCCCCCUGGACGAAGACUGACGCUCAGGUGCGAAAGCGUGGGGAGCAAACAGGAUUAGAUACCCUGGUAGUCCACGCCGUAAACGAUGUCGACUUGGAGGUUGUGCCCUUGAGGCGUGGCUUCCGGAGCUAACGCGUUAAGUCGACCGCCUGGGGAGUACGGCCGCAAGGUUAAAACUCAAAUGAAUUGACGGGGGCCCGCACAAGCGGUGGAGCAUGUGGUUUAAUUCGAUGCAACGCGAAGAACCUUACCUGGUCUUGACAUCCACGGAAGUUUUCAGAGAUGAGAAUGUGCCUUCGGGAACCGUGAGACAGGUGCUGCAUGGCUGUCGUCAGCUCGUGUUGUGAAAUGUUGGGUUAAGUCCCGCAACGAGCGCAACCCUUAUCCUUUGUUGCCAGCGGUCCGGCCGGGAACUCAAAGGAGACUGCCAGUGAUAAACUGGAGGAAGGUGGGGAUGACGUCAAGUCAUCAUGGCCCUUACGACCAGGGCUACACACGUGCUACAAUGGCGCAUACAAAGAGAAGCGACCUCGCGAGAGCAAGCGGACCUCAUAAAGUGCGUCGUAGUCCGGAUUGGAGUCUGCAACUCGACUCCAUGAAGUCGGAAUCGCUAGUAAUCGUGGAUCAGAAUGCCACGGUGAAUACGUUCCCGGGCCUUGUACACACCGCCCGUCACACCAUGGGAGUGGGUUGCAAAAGAAGUAGGUAGCUUAACCUUCGGGAGGGCGCUUACCACUUUGUGAUUCAUGACUGGGGUGAAGUCGUAACAAGGUAACCGUAGGGGAACCUGCGGUUGGAUCACCUCCUUACCUUAAAGAAGC